rnacentral:misc_RNA from 1 species
AUUUUAUUUCAAUAACAUUGUUUUCUCAAGAGGAAAUUUCUUGCAGUGUUCUUCUGAGAGAGUAUUUAGGCAUGUACAUCAUGUCCAGUUACCCGGCCUGGUGAAAAUGGAAAGAAAAUACAAAAAGAAAACUUUACUUGCAAAAACCUCAUAGUUUUUCAAUGUUGAUUAAGCUUCUGAAUAAAUUUGGCUAGUGACCCUUGUAAAUAUGCUUGAUAUUCCCCACUGAUGUUUGAUUCAGGUUGUUUCCAUUCCUGAACGCCCCUCACCAUUCUAUGUUCUUUAAAUGGUGCCAAUGCCUUGAAUGUGCCAUUGUUUCUGUCCACACUUUUUCUGGAUGGGCUUAGGUUCAUGUCAUGCAUUGGUUGCAUUAGAAGGGAAGAAGGGCUAUGAUGAAGUGAUGGAAUCAUUGGACUCUCUGUCUCUGUACCAUAGAUGUUAUUUGUAUAUUGCUUCAAGUAACUAGUGGGGUAUUGUCCAUAAUUACAAGCCAGGUCAGUGGGAAUAUCUCCUUCCAAUAUUUUCAAUACCUUGGACAUUCUUGGUCUUUUUUCUGGGUUUGGUGAGAUACAUAAGCUGGCAGCAUGCAUCAUACAUUGUACUUCUUUUUCCUCAUAAUUUUGCUUUAGUCGAGGAUCUAUAAUCUCAUCAAUCAUCUUCCUCUCGAGCAAUGGACAACCCCAUUCUUGUACAAAUUGUUGUCCUGUAAUUCUUGAAAAUUCGGUUGCUUUAAGGCCAGACAAAAGCUCCAACAAAACAACCCCAAAUGCAUAUACAUCAGUUUUCUCUGUUAUAAGCCCAGAUUGUGUGUACUCAGGUGCUAAAUACCCAAAAGCGCCAAUAACUCGUGUUUCCUCAGCUGACUGGCCAUCUACUUGCCGUCUUGCAAGACCAAAAUCUCCCACCAUAGGUUCAAAGUCAUGUGUAAGGAGGAUAUUGUUGGGUCUGAAAUCUCUAUGUACAAUGCAUCCCACUCGGCAAUCUUCAUGAAGAUAUCUCAGACCUCUAGCAGCACCUUUUGCAACCUUCAUUCUUUUAUGCCAAGCCAUAACCUUAUUUGUCUCAGUUCCAUACAAAUGCUUAUCUAAGGAACCAUUGCA